UACAGAGGUCUCAAGCGUUGUUCGGAUUCAUUGGGCGUAAAGGGUGUGUAGGUGGCGCGCUAAGUCGGGUGUGAAAUUUCGGAGCUUAACUCCGAAACUGCAUUCGAUACUGGCGUGCUUGAGGACUGGAGAGGAGACUGGAAUUCAUGGUGUAGCAGUGAAAUGCGUAGAGAUCAUGAGGAACACCGGUGGCGAAGGCGGAUCUCUGGGCCUUACCUGACGCUCAGGUGCGAAAGCUAGGGGAGCGAACAGG
rnacentral:rRNA from 1 species